rnacentral:rRNA from 1 species
GACGAACGCUGGCGGCGUGCUAACACAUGCCAGUCGAACGGAAAGGCCCUGCUUUUGUGGGGUGCUCGAGUGGCGAACGGGUGAGUAACACGUGAGUAACCUGCCCUUGACUUUGGGAUAACUUCAGGAAACUGGGGCUAAUACCGGAUAGGAGCUCCUGCUGCAUGGUGGGGGUUGGAAAGUUUCGGCGGUUGGGGAUGGACUCGCGGCUUAUCAGCUUGUUGGUGGGGUAGUGGCUUACCAAGGCUUUGACGGGUAGCCGGCCUGAGAGGGUGACCGGCCACAUUGGGACUGAGAUACGGCCCAGACUCCUACGGGAGGCAGCAGUGGGGAAUAUUGCACAAUGGGCGGAAGCCUGAUGCAGCAACGCCGCGUGCGGGAUGACGGCCUUCGGGUUGUAAACCGCUUUCGCCUGUGACGAAGCGUGAGUGACGGUAAUGGGUAAAGAAGCACCGGCUAACUACGUG